AUUGAACGCUGGCGGCAGGCUUAACACAUGCAAGUCGAGCGGGGUGAUGGUGCUUGCACUAUCACUUAGCGGCGGACGGGUGAGUAAUGCUUAGGAAUCUGCCUAUUAGUGGGGGACAACAUCUCGAAAGGGAUGCUAAUACCGCAUACGUCCUACGGGAGAAAGCAGGGGAUCACUUGUGACCUUGUGCUAAUAGAUGAGCCUAAGUCGGAUUAGCUAGUUGGUGGGGUAAAGGCCUACCAAGGCGACGAUCUGUAGCGGGUCUGAGAGGAUGAUCCGCCACACUGGGACUGAGACACGGCCCAGACUCCUACGGGAGGCAGCAGUGGGGAAUAUUGGACAAUGGGGGGAACCCUGAUCCAGCCAUGCCGCGUGUGUGAAGAAGGCCUUAAGGUUGUAAAGCACUUUAAGCGAGGAGGAGGCUCUAUUGGUUAAUACCCAAGAUGAGUGGACGUUACUCGCAGAAUAAGCACCGGCUAACUCUGUGCCAGCCGCCGCCGUAA
rnacentral:rRNA from 1 species